GGGGAGGGGAGAAGCCAGUGUAGGCUGCAAGUCUGGACGGUAGGAGCCGCCGGUAGCCCCAGCGACAGACAGUCAGAAUCUUCCUUCUGGCAAGAGAAAGACCUCAGUACUACUCACCAGGGAGAAAUCAUGGACCUGAACUCAAAGGAACAGCCCACCUCCCCACAAAAGCAGGGCGUAAAAGCUCGGUCCAAAUCCACAGAGGAGAUCCAGCCUGCCAAGAAGGCCUUCCACACUACCCAGAAGUCCUUACCAAACCAGAUGGAUGCAGAUGAGUCCAAGGGUUCCUGUCCUGUACCAGCACCCAAUACUGCUCAACAGCAGCAGACCUGAGGAGCAGGUCAUGGUUGUGUGGAGUGGAGUUGUGACCGUUCCUUGUGCUGCUCCUU